UUCAAAAUGCCUUCUAACAGCAAAUGUGUGGGUAUGAUGGACUAACAGCCUGGCUUCUUCAAUUUGGAUAUAUACUGCAAAGAAGCGGCAUCCUAAGGUGA